GAUGAAUGCUGGCGGCGUGCCUAACACAUGCAAGUCGAGCGGCAGCGAGGGGUGCUUGCACCCUGUCGGCGAGCGGCGAACGGCUGAGUAACGCGUAGGAAUUUGCCCCAAAGUGAGGAGUAACUGCCCGAAAGGGUAGCUAAUGCCGCAUAUGGUCUUCGGAUUAAAGGAUUUAUCCGCUUUGGGAGAAGCCUGCGUUGGAUUAGGUUGUUGGUAGGGUAAUGGCCUACCAAGCCGACGAUCCAUAGCUGGUCUGAGAGGAUGAUCAGCCAGACUGGAACUGAGACACGGUCCAGACUCCUACGGGAGGCAGCAGUGAGGAAUCUUCCACAAUGGGCGAAAGCCUGAUGGAGCAACGCCGCGUGAAGGAUGAAGGCCUUCGGGUUGUAAACUUCUUUUAUGAGUGAAGAAUAUGACGGUAACUCAUGAAUAAGCACCGGCUAACUACGUG
rnacentral:rRNA from 1 species